GACAGAGGGUGCAAACGUUGUUCGGAAUUACUGGGCGUAAAGCGCGUGUAGGCGGCUAUGUAAGUCGGGCGUGAAAUCCCACGGCUCAACCGUGGAAGUGCACCCGAAACUGCGUAGCUAGAGUCCUGGAGAGGAAGGUGGAAUGCUUGGUGUAGAGGUGAAAUUCGUUGAUAUCAAGCGGAACACCGGUGGCGAAGGCGGCCUUCUGGACAGUGACUGACGCUGAGACGCGAAAGCGUGGGGAGCAAACAGG
rnacentral:rRNA from 1 species